CCUACGGGUGUCAGCAGUGAGGAAUAUUGGUCAAUGGGCGCGAGCCUGAACCAGCCAAGUAGCGUGAAGGAUGACUGCCCUACGGGUUGUAAACUUCUUUUAUAAGGGAAUAAAGUGAGGCACGUGUUCCAUUUUGUAUGUACCUUAUGAAUAAGGAUCGGCUAACUCCGUGCCAGCAGCCGCGGUAAUACGGAGGAUCCGAGCGUUAUCCGGAUUUAUUGGGGUUAAAGGGAGCGUAGGUGGUUGGUUAAGUCAGUUGUGAAAGUUUGCGGCUCAACCGUAAAAUUGCAAUUGAUACUGGCAGCCUUGAGUACAGUUGAGGUAGGCGGAAUUCGUGGUGUAGCGGUGAAAUGCUUAGAUAUCACGAAGAACUCCGAUAGCGAAGGCAGCUUACUAAACUGCCACUGACAUUGAUGCUCGAAAGUGUGGGUAUCAAACAGGAUUAGAUACCCUAGUAGUC
rnacentral:rRNA from 1 species